UGGCCCCUACGGGACGCAGCAGUGGGGAAUAUUGGGCAAUGGGCGCAAGCCUGACCCAGCAAUGCCGCGUGAAGGAAGAAGGCUUUCGGGUUGUAAACUUCUUUGACAGGGGAAGAGCAGAAGACGGUACCCUGAAAACAAGCCACGGCUAACUACGUGCCAGCAGCCGCGGUAAUACGUAGGGGGCAAGCGUUAUCCGGAUUUACUGGGUGUAAAGGGAGCGUAGACGGCUGUGCAAGUCUGAAGUGAAAGCCCGUGGCUCAACCGCGGAACUGCUUUGGAAACUGUAUAGCUUGAGUACUGGA
rnacentral:rRNA from 1 species